GACGAAUGAUGGCGGCGUGCUUAACACAUGCAAGUCGAACGGAAAGGCCCUGCUUUUGUGGGGUGCUCGAGUGGCGAACGGGUGAGUAACACGUGAGUAACCUGCCCUUGACUUUGGGAUAACUUCAGGAAACUGGGGCUAAUACCGGAUAGGAGCUCCUGCUGCAUGGUGGGGGUUGGAAAGUUUCGGCGGUUGGGGAUGGACUCGCGGCUUAUCAGCUUGUUGGUGGGGUAGUGGCUUACCAAGGCUUUGACGGGUAGCCGGCCUGAGAGGGUGACCGGCCACAUUGGGACUGAGAUACGGCCCAGACUCCUACGGGAGGCAGCAGUGGGGAAUAUUGCACAAUGGGCGGAAGCCUGAUGCAGCAACGCCGCGUGCGGGAUGACGGCCUUCGGGUUGUAAACCGCUUUCGCCUGUGACGAAGCGUGAGUGACGGUAAUGGGUAAAGAAGCACCGGCUAACUACGUG
rnacentral:rRNA from 1 species